GCUGAUGUGUAGGCAAAUCCGCACAUCGUUAAGGCUGGGCUGGGAUGGGGAGUGAAAAUUACAGUAGCGAAGGUCAUGAUCUCACACUGCCAAGAAAAGCCUCUAGUCAGGUGAAGGUGCCCGUACCGCAAACCGACACAGGUAGGCGAGAAGAGAAUUCUAAGGCGCGCGGAAGAACUCUCGUUAAGGAACUCGGCAAAAUGACCCCGUAACUUCGGGAGAAGGGGUGCCUCGGUAGGGUGAAUAGCCCGAGGGGGCCGCAGUGAAAAGGCCCAAGCGACUGUUUAGCAAAAACACAGGUCUGUGCGAAGCCGUAAGGCGAAGUAUACGGGCUGACGCCUGCACGGUGCUGGAAGGUUAAGGGGAGCGGUUAGGAGCAAUCCGAAG
rnacentral:rRNA from 1 species